rnacentral:rRNA from 1 species
GACGAACGCUGGCGGCGUGCUUAACACAUGCAAGUCGAACGGUAAAGGGACUGGUUUUGCUGGUCCUCGAUGAGUGGCGAACGGGUUAGUAACACGUUAGUAACCUGCCCCCUUCUUGUGGAUAACCGCAUGAAAGGGUGGCUAAUACGGGAUAUCCUGGGUCUGUCGCAUGGGGGGCCUGGGAAAGAUCGCGCCUUUUUUGGUGCGCUGCUUGGGGGAUGGUCUCGCGGGUUGUGAGCUUGUUGGUGGGGGGAGGGCCUCCCGAGGCGGUGACGGGUAGCCGGCCUGAGAGGGUGCACGGUCACACGGGGACUGAGACCCGGCCCAGACUCCUGCGAGGGGCCGCAGUGGGACAUAUUGCACAAUGGGCGAAAGCCUGAUGCAGCGACGCCGCGUGAGGGAUGGACGCCUUGGGGUUGUUGACCUCUUUCGGGAGUGAAACAGGGCUGCCUCUUUAUGUGGGUGGAUUGACGGUAGCUGGAUAAGAAGCACCGGCUAACUACGUG